AUCAUUAUUUUGGAAAAGAUUAAACAUUUAACAAAUGAUCAGGAAAAUGAGAUAAAUUUUGAUAAAGGAUUCAGAUAAUAAUUUGCAAACACUGCUGUAUAUGCUUUUAUAUGGUGAUGAAAAUAUCUGAUCCAAUGAGGACUCCGUGGGGAGAGAAAUAUCUGAUCCAAUGAGGACUCCGUGGGGAGAGAAAUAUCUGAUCCAAUGAGGACUCCGUGGGGAGAGAAAUAUCUGAUCCAAUGAGGACUCCGUGGGGAGAGAAAUAUCUGAUCCAAUGAGGACUCCGUGGGGAGAGAAAUAUCUGAUCCAAUGAGGACUCCGUGGGGAGAGAAAUAUCUGAUCCAAUGAGGACUUCGUGGGGAGAGAAAUAUCUGAUCCAAUGAGGACUCCGUGGGGAGAGAACCUAAUAAAGCUCAAUAAAUGUAGUUAUGGUUCUAGGUCAUUUACACCAGAAUCGGAAAAUGUAUUCAUAUCGGGUAAAUGCAAUGUCUUAUGUUAUUUUACUGAACACAACAUAAUAUCAUAUCUAUAUGUAGUUCUAUAAUCCUUCAGUUCCAAAACUCACAUGAUGUUUUGUUGUUUUUAUAGAGAAUGAUAAAUUCAACCGUAUUUUAACUCACUGUCUGAUUCCACCAUCAUCAGAUGAGGGCUGUUAAAAUCGUCUUUCGUCUGUUGUCUUCAUCUGUCCAUCCAUAAAUAAUCCUUGUUAUUGUUAUUUCUUAAAAACUUCCUCGUGAAAAAUCAAGUCUCCAUAGAUAGGCUCCUCUUUGUCCCUACUUGUGUAUGAUGAAUUUUGAGACUUGAUUGGAAAACAAAAUGGUCAACAGGUAGCCAUUUUGAAUUUCGACAGUUAUAGCUUCUUCUUAGAAAGUUACUGAGGGAUCUUUCUCCAAUUUCAUUUUUAGGUUCCCCUCAGUAUCUAGUUGUGCAUGUUGAAUUUUGAAAAAAGUCAUCUUGGAUUUCAACAGUUAAAAUUUAGUUUCUGUAUUUCUCAGAAAACUCUUUCUAGAUUUGAUAACAUAGAUUCUCCUUGUUAUCAAAUGAUCAAGAGGAAGAGGGGAAAGAAGAGAGAAGCCCAGUCUUGUGUAGAACUAAUCUAGAUAAUUCAAUGGUGGAUGCCAAGAUCCCUCUGGGAUCUCGUUUACUUCGAAAUAUUGUCAAAGAAUUUUAGUUCAAAAGGCUCAAAUCAAAUGGAAGGAACUUUGAGUUUCUUAGUCAUAAUUUAUAGUCAUAGUUCAUUAAAAAAAAACCUUCUUGCCCUGAUCAGUGUUAUGAUUAAAAGAUAGUUGUUUUUGAGAAUUUAUUUAAGUUUUAUUGAGUUUAAAUUUUUUUUUUUCAUUUUAUUUACUUUUAAUUCCAGUUAUGUUAUAUCAAAUAUUCAAAAUAACUAAGUCAAACAUACCAUAUUCAACAUAACUAGUGCUCCAUAUUUAAAGUUCCAGUAGAUGUGUAUCAUUCCUUUCAGUAAAAAAAAUUAGUGGGAAUUUAAUAUUUGUUUUGCGUAAAAUACAUGUACAUGUAGUUUGGAAUAACUAAUUUGUGGCAGUAAUUCAUAUUUCUGGAAUGCUGAAACAGCCCAUCAGACAACACAUUUCCUGGUCUAGGGGGUGUAGAGGAAACAGGGGCGCUAAUUAACGGGAUAUGGUACCUAGAGUUUUUAAGUUUUAUCUAAGCUAACUCAUAGAUGCAAUAAUUAUGUAGAUGUAUUUUGCUAUUUUUAUUUUGUUAUAUACAGCUUGGUCGAGUGUUUUAACCCUAUAUGUUUCAUGUUGUAAUACUGUUGGUUACUGCAGUUUAGGGAGCUGUCAUUGGUUUUGUUGUCUUUUUAAUAAUAUGAAUAAAUAUUGGGUCAACAGUGCAUCACCUUAUUAAUUAGCAUAAUAUAGGUUGCUUUGACAUGUUUACACAUUGUAAUUAUAACAGUUUAAUUCCAUACAUUGGAGCUGGCUAUUUUCCUGAUUUGCAGUCAUUUUUCCGAGGAGUCUAGUCAGGGUUUACAUGUAGUAGGUGACCAUUUCUCCAGUCACCAACCAAUGACUUUCACUGCUACCAUAUCUAGCCCAGGUCAACACACUGCCUCGCUCUCCGAAUCUACCAGUGGGCUUGUUGCAGUCAAAUUGUUGGUUCACUGAAUGGGUAUAGAUAUGUAUGGGCUUAUUAUUGCCAGAUAAAUGUGUGCAAAUAUCUAGGUAUAUUAGUGUAUAUAUUCUGUAACAUCAAUAAGAUAGUAAAAAAUUACCAUUGCCAACUCAAAUUCAUUGUGUCUUCAGAAAUCCCAGGUAUGAAAAUCAAAAUGACACAUCGUGAAGUUACAACUGUUGAUGUUUGUUUCGCUGUCACAUGAUGUUCUUCCUACAUUCGAAUCAUGGACAUCAGAAUUGUAUGUAUUGUGUAGGUAAACAGUGGGAAUAGGGAAAUAUGUAUGUACUUAUAGUUGUAUGUAAACAUAAUGCCUCUUUUUCAGCAAAACUUGAUUAAUUAUACACAUCCGCAUACAAUUAUCUGAUAUGUCAGAUGUGUAAAAUCAAUCACGAAGCUGUAUAACGAGAGGUCACAUUCUGUGAUAUAUAGGGUUACUGCUUUGGUUGCUAAGUAGUUUUACUCGACACAUUGUAAUCUGUCUCACUAUACUUUACCAUGUGGCAGGGAAAUCAUAAUGUAUAACAAGUCCCCUUAUUUAAUUUUAUCUUGUCACUCUUGUUCAGAUUUUUAUUAUAUAUUUAAAGAUUUCAUUACAAAUAUUCAUUUUAUCAAUACUAUUUGAAAAAAGCUUUAAAUGUGAAUGGAAACUAUGUAAAGAUGUAAAACAUUUUAUCAUUUGAUUUUAAAAUGAAAGAAAACCAUGCUUCAUAGAAUUCUCUUUAUUUUGUUGUAGUGUUUAAAUGUAUUAUCAGUAGGCACUGUCUCUGUACCACUCCAGUACUACAGAAGGCAUAAAGGUCUACACUCAGAACACGCUACAUACAUCUCAGAUUGUUUCUGAACAAGUUCAAUUUAUUCCAGUUUAUAAAGUUUAAUUGUAGAUUUGAUUCUCCAAUACUAGGAAUCUAGACAGCACCAAGCCCUGUCUGUAGAUCUGGUGAGAUGGUAUUUUAUAUUGCUUCAGUUUUAGACUGCAGAAUACCACAGUCACACCGCUGGGUCGUAGAUGCUUACAGUCAUAUUAUUAAAUAUUUAUGUUGUUGAUGCUAAAUGUCAGUUCUGUUGUAUGGUUUUGUAAGUUAGUGCAUGUAAACAGACAAACAUAGAUAAUAUAAACUUAAUUUUAAAUGGCAAUUGAUGCACAUGAGCAAGCAAAGCUGGACAGUACAGUGGAAAUCCAGGCCAUUACUGUACCAGGGGAGAUAACUCUAAGUACUGACUCCACAUAUACCUGGUACUGGUGGGAGGUCAUUCUCAAUCAGAAAUGACAAUAUAAACAUCAAUUUAGGAAUACCAGUAAUUUACUGGUGGAAUAAGAAAAUAUUUUGACUGAUUUGAUCGGUUGAUAUAUAAAGGAGAUUAUGGGUAUCACCUUGGUUGUUUUCCUGUGUGAUUACAGACUUUGCGUUGCUGCAUGUGCAUCCUCAUGUGCAUUGAUUGCACGUCGCACAGUCAUUCCAAUAUGUGUGUGAUCAUUGUUUGCUAAAUAUUUUAUUAACUUUUUAUUAUUUUCUUGAAAAAUAUUGUGUGCAUGACAAAUAUCAAGAAGCAGCUACAAACUGAAAUAAAAGUUUGAAUCAGAACGCUGCCCAUACAAACACUGUGUGAUGUGUACAUGUUAGCACACGGAAAACGGUCAAAUGAUAAACACCUGGUUGACUAGUAGUCUAUUGUUACUGAAAUGUCUACCUAGUCCAUCGUGGUGUUUCUGUCCACCUGUGGUAGAAUUUACAAAGCAAUAUUGAAAAAUAGGCAACUGUUGAUUGUACACAAUUAUGUGUUUGUUCUAUUUUUGAAUUAUCUGUAAUUUCACCUUUCUGAACCUGAUCAUGAAAUGAAUGGAGAAAAUGAUCUUCAUUAUGUAUGUAAGCUGUGAGUAUGUUUCGUACUUUCAAACAUUAUGCGAGAUCUCAACGUUACUCCAACAAUUGUACAUAUUUGCUAUUGGCUUGUGUGAUUUUGAUUCCAUUCUGCAAUUUUGUUGUGAUUUAUUGCAAUGGUACACAGCUGUGAGAGAGGCACUGUGAAGUUUCUAACUUGGUAGCAGGCUAAUAUUAGAAAUGUGAUAUUGGAAAUACCUAUUUCACAGUAUUCAUGUGACAUUUUGAUAUGUGUGUAACUCCUGCCUGAUGGUAUUUCACUUAACGGAGAGGUUAUAACGAGAUAGCAGUAAGGACUAUAGGUUAAAGGAGAGGUUAUAACGAGAUAGCAGUAAGGACUAUCGGUUAACGGAGAGGUUAUAACGAGAUAGCAGUAAGGACUAUCGGUUAACGGAGAGGUUAUAACGAGAUAGCAGUAAAGACUAUCGGUUAGCGGAGAGGUUAUAACGAGAUAGCAGUAAGGACUAUCGGUUAACGGAGAGGUUAUAACGAGAUAGCAGUAAGGACUAUCGGUUAACGGAGAGGUUAUAACGAGAUAGCAGUAAGGACUAUCGGUUAACGGAGAGGUUAUAACGAGAUAGCAGUAAGGACUAUCGGUUAACGGAGGGGUUAUAACAAGAUAGCAGUAAGGACUAUCAGUUAACGGAAAGGUUAUAACGAGAUAGCAGUAAGGACUAUCAGUUAACGGAGAGGUUAUAACGAGAUAGCAGUAAGGACUAUCAGUUAACGGAGAGGUUAUAACGAGAUAGCAGUAAGGACUAUCGGUUAACGGAGAGGUUAUAACGAGAUAGCAGUAAGGACUAUCGGUUAACGGAGAGGUUAUAACGAGAUAGCAGUAAGGACUAUCGGUUAACGGCGAGGUUAUAACGAGAUAGCAGUAAGGACUAUCGGUUAACGGAGAGGUUAUAACGAGAUAUAGUGGUCAUGUGAUCUACAAUUAAGAGCGAGUCACAAAGUACAAUCAUGUGCUAUUAGGAUCAACGAGAAAUUGAAGUAAAUAACAGAUAUUCACUAGUGUUGCUGUGGCAUCUUCUUUCUGUUCAUAUUGUAUACCUGUAGGUCAUUCUUCUUCAAAGGUCACCAAAGUAACCAAGGUCACAAGUCACCAAGACUCUUACUUUAUGGUGUGCUAAGUUUAACAGAAUUAAAAUGUCACUUCAGCUCCAUGGUAUUCUUAAGGAUGUAGUUUAGCACUUUUGAGUUGUGUCUAAUGCCAGCCCUUAGUAUUAUUCAGAUUUGAAAAGAUAAACAAAUAUACACUUUUUCCUUUUAAUGGCUUUGCACUUGGUUUUUGCAAAACGAGGAGUCAGAUGGUUACAUACCUAAGUAAACAAGGAGUCUACCAUCAGAUGGUUACAUUCCUCGAGUAAAUGAGUCGCCCAUCAGAUGGUUACAUACCUUGAGUAAAUGAGGAGUCGCCCAUCAGAUGGUUACAUACCUCGAGUAAAUGAGGAGUCGCCCAUCAGAUGGUUACAUACCUCGAGUAAAUGAGGAGUCGCCCAUCAGAUGGUUACAUACCUCGAGUAAAUGAGGAGUCGCCCAUCAGAUGGUUACAUACCUCGAGUAAAUGAGGAGUCGCCCAUCAGAUGGUUACAUACCUUGAGUAAACAAGGAGUCUUACAUACCUUGAGUAAAUGAGGAGUCGCCCAUCAGAUGGCUACAUACCUCGAGUAAAUGAGUUGUCUACCAUCAGAUGGUUACAUUCCUCGAGUAAAUGAAGAUCAUCUAUAGUUGCCCAUCAGAUGGUUACACACCUUGAGUAAACAAGGAGUCUUACAUACCUUGAGGAAAUGAGGAGUCGCCAAUCAGAUGGCUACAUACCUCGAGUAAAUGAGUUGUCUACCAUCAGAUGGUUACAUUCCUCGAGUAAAUGAAGAUCAUCUAUAGUUGUCCAUCAGAUGGUUGUAAAUUGCAAGUCAUUGGAAAUAUCAAAUCAAUUCACAUACUAGUCAUUUUUUAAUAAUUUGAAAGGCCAUUAUAAUUUUGUCUUGACGGAUCAGUUUCGAGUUCAGGUUGAUAUGUGGACAUAUUUUUAUAUCCUUUAAGACUUGAAAAUAAUGGCAAAGAAAAUCUUACUGACGGUAUCCCUAGUGAUGUAAUAGAACCGAUCACAAAGAAAAUCUUACUGACGGUAUCCCUAGUGAUGUAAUAGAACCGAUCACAAAGAAAAUCUUACUGACGGUAUCCCUAGUGAUGUAAUAGAACUGAUCACAAAGAAAAUCUUACUGACGGUAUCACUAGUGAUGUAAUAGAACCGAUCAGUAAUUUCGAGGUAAUGUAUUUCUCUGUAGAUUAUUUAUACAGAAAUGUAUUGAAAUUUAAAAGUGCAACAGAUCACUUCUAUAUUUAAAAAAAUCACUUUUGACCUUGCAUACCUAGGUCAGAGUUUGUCUUGCAAAGCUUAAGUGCCUACUGACUGCCAACAUUCUCUUGUGACUGCUACCAUUACAUAAACACUGAGAUUGUGUGACUAGCACAGAUCUCCCAGCUGGGCGACUGUAACAAAGUGUGACUAUAAGCACAGAUCUCCCAGCUGGGUGACUGUAACAAAGUGUGACUAGCACAGAUCUCCCAACUGGGUGAUGGUAACAAAGUGUGACUAGCACAGAUCUCCCAGCUGGGUGACUGUAACAAAGUGUGACUAGCACAGAUCUCCCAGCUGGGUGACUGUAACAAAGUGUGACUAGCACAGAUCUCCCAGCUGGGUGACUAGCAAAGUGUGACUAGCACAGAUCUCCCAGCUUGGUAAGGUAACAAAGUGUGACUAGCACAGAUCUCCCAGCUGGGUGACGGUAACAAAGUGUGACUACCACAGAUCUCCCAGCUGGGUGAAGGUAACAAAGUGUGACUAGCACAGAUCUCCCAGCACGGUGAAGGUAACAAAGUGUGACUAGCACAGAUCUCCCAGCUGGGUGACUAGCAAAGUGUGACUAGCACAGAUCUCCCAGCUGGGUGACUGUAACAAAGUGUGACUAGCACAGAUCUCCCAGCUUGGUAAGGUAACAAAGUGUGACUAGCACAGAUCUCCCAGCUUGGUAAGGUAACAAAGUGUGACUAGCACAGAUCUCCCAGCUUGGUAAGGUAACAAAGUGUGACUAGCACAGAUCUCCCAGCUGGGUGACUGUAACAAAGUGUGACUAGCACAGAUCUCCCAGCUGGGUGAUGGUAACAAAUGUGACUAGCACAGAUCUCCCAGCUGGGUGACGGUAACAAAAUGUGACUACCACAGAUCUCCCAGCUGGGUGAUGGUAACAAAGUGUGACUAGCACAGAUCUCCCAGCUGGGUGAUGGUAACAAAUGUGACUAGCACAGAUCUCCCAGCUGGGUGACGGUAACAAAAUGUGACUACCACAGAUCUCCCAGCUGGGUGAUGGUAACAAAGUGUGACUAAUACAGAUCUCCCAGCUGGGUGACGGUAACAAAGUGUGACUAGUACAGAUCUCCCAGCUGGGUGAUGGUAACAAAGUGUGACUAGUACAGAUCUCCCAGCUUGAUAAGGUAACAAAGUAUACAUGAUUGUAGUAGAUGUUUAAUGGCCAACAUUUUGUUGUGAAGAAGGUAGACGAUAGUAAUAUAUUCUGUUUUUCAUGCAUCAUCAUUAUUUCUGUGUGGUUUAAUGUAUCUUGGCAUAUAUGUGUCACCCUUUUGUAUACAACUUCCAUUUUUUUUUUCUGGUCUUUGAAAAAAUUCUCAAUAGAAUAAAAAUCACUUGAUACAACUAA